UACGAAGGGAGCUAGCGUUGUUCGGAAUCACUGGGCGUAAAGCGCACGUAGGCGGACGUGUCAGUCAGGGGUGAAAUCCCGGAGCUCAACUUCGGAACUGCCUUUGAUACAGCACGUCUUGAGUCCGGAAGAGGUGGGUGGAAUUCUUGGUGUAGCGGUGAAAUGCGUAGAUAUCAAGAGGAACACCUGAGGUGAAGACGGGUUGCUGGGCCAACACUGACGUGAUGCGCGAAAGCCAGGGGAGCAAACGGG
rnacentral:rRNA from 1 species